CAUCACCCCCAAAAUCAAUCCCAGCCUUCCCUUUGUGGUAUGGUACCUUGCAGUACAAUUUCAGAGAGAUCCAUACACUUGAACACAAGUUAUUGUCUGGAAACUGUAAAAAUGCGUUUUUUGGCCCCAAAUUUCCUAAACGUUUAGGGCAAUUACCCCCAAACUCAAACCCAGCUUUCCCUUUGUGAUAUGGAACCUUGUAGUACAAUUUCAUAAAGAUCCAUACACUUACAAGUUAUUGUCCUGAAACUAUAAAAAUGCUUGUUUUUUGCCCCCAAUUCCUAAAAUUUUGAGGCAAUUACCCCCAAACUCAAUCCCAGCCUUCCCUUUGUGGUAUGGUACCUUUCAGUACAAUUUCAGAGAGAUCCAUACACUAAAUCACAAGUUAUUGUCCGGAAACUAGAAAAAUGGUUAUUUGUGGCCCCUUAUUCCUAAACGUUUUGGGCAAUUACCCCCAAACUCAAUUCCAGCUUUCUCUUUGUGAUAUGGAACCUUGUAGUACAAUUUCAGAAAGAUCCACACACUUACACACAAGUUAUUGUUAGGAAACUAGAAAAAUGAUUGUUUUUUGCCCCUUUUUUUGCCCUAAUUCCUAAAAUUUUGAGGAAAUUACCACCAAAAUCAAUCCCAGCAUUCCCUUUGUGAUAUGGAACCUUGUGGUACAAUGUCAGAGAGAUCCAUACACUAACACACAAGUUAUUGUCUGGAAGUUACAAAAAUGCUUAUUUUUGGCCCCUAAUUCCUUAACUGUUGGUGCCAUAACCCCCAAAAUCAAUCCCAACCUUCCUUUUGUGGUAUUGAACCUUAUGGUAAAAUUUCAUAGAGAUCCAUUUACUUAAACUAAAGUUAUUGUCUGGAAACUAAAUGCGUCUUCGGGCGACGCAGACGACGACAUGAUAGCAUUAUAUUUUUGCGGUCGUAUAAAAAAUAUCGGUUACAUCAUUCCCAAUUCCAACUGGUCUGAAAAGUCUGUGAUGGGCAAUAUCCGAGAGGAUAGCUGUAAGUUUGUAUUGGUUUGAAUGGGUAUUUGUAUCUAGUUUACAGAGGUUAAGAGAAUGAAGUUUUGAAAUGGAUAGUGAAUAUAGCUUUGUGCAGUUGUGAUGAAUACCCAACAACCUCUGUAUAAAUGACAAACAUCAUGACGAGCAGGUGAUAUAUAACAAGAACCAUCGCUUCGUCUACAUUGGAUAGCAGUAUAAUGAAAAUUGAUUGAAAGAUUGAAAAAUAAAAAUAAACAGCAAACAAACAACAAAAUAACACAAAACAAACAAAAGACAUCUAAGAGGUCAACACACCGUGAUAUACUCAAGGUUUUCAUUUGUUUUGUUGAAGCCAGACAUAUAUACGUAUACAUGUCUCUGUUGAAGCCCACCUUUUUCUAAUGCUUUCUAUAAGCUCCUUCAGUUUGAAAAUCUGAUAAAGCAUGCCUCAUAUGUAGACAAGUUCAUUUGUACCAGAUCACUCAAUUAACUGUCGACACAGAGAUGUCUCCUGGUCUGUAAUUUUGAUAAUAAAAUGCAAAUGUUGAAAUUGAAAUAGCAUUAUUUGAAUACAAUGUAUGUGAAAUAUGCAAAAUAUUCAGUCGAUGAACCAUGACUUAAGGUACAAGGCAAAAUGGCAAAAUAUUUUCCUUGGAAAUGAAGAUAUGCCAAACCUUAAACAACUGGAUACAAAAUAUUAUUGACUUUUAAUAUCACAAGUAGUUCUCCAUAAACUGACCUAAUAACAAACUACCAUUUAAACUAAGGAAAUGUGUUAGAUAAUAUAAAUAAGAAGAUGUGGUAUGAGUGUAUAUGUAUUUUUGGGUGUUUCAUAAUUUGUUUGUAUAGCAGUAAGAAAAGACAUUUUUAUACUGUUUUGUUGAGUUAGUGCCUUUAAAAAUUGAUCACUUAACCUGCAAUAACUAUAGAACAAAUUAAAACUCAGACAAUAUCCACUGAAGAUAAAUCAUUCAAGUCGUGGUGUAUAAUUUAUUGAUAAAAAAAGGGUAAAAGAAAUCAAGACUGAACUUUCUAGAUAGCGGCUAAUGAUUAACUUGAAUGCAAUCAUCAACCAGGAUCUGUUUUGUCCUACAGGUACUACUGUAUAUUUAUACUGACUUAUCCUCCCAAACUUUUGUCCUACAGGUACUUCUGUAUAUUUAUACUGACUUAUCCUCCCAAACUUUUGUCCUACAGGUACUUCUGUAUAUUUAUACUGAAUUGUCCUCUCAAACUUUUUCAUCAAAUAUUGUUUCAUUUUUUUUAUGAAAAUGUAAAAAAAGGUUUCCAAUGUAAAUAUACGGUGACCUAUAGUUGUUAACUUUUACAUCAUUUUGGUCUCUUGUGGGAAGUUGUCUCAUUGUCAAUCAUACAUCUUAUUUUUAUAUACCAGACUAACAAAACAAGGCACAAUAUUUAAACAGAAAAACAUGAUGUAAUUUUGGAUGAAUUAAACCUUGGGAGUCCCUGUAACUUCCAACUUGUUGAGGUUAUACUGAAUAAACAAUUAUUACAACUAUGCUUAGAUCUUCUAAAUUUAACUUCUGUAUGGUGUGGGUUAGAGAACAACCCCUAAAAAGAAAUUCCUAUAACCACAUUUAGAUUGCUGGUAUGAAAACAGAACAGUUCCAGUUACUUGCUCAAUGCUGGUGGUUUACCCCAGCACUAAGGAUUCUUAAAUAAGUAAAACUGACUUCCAUGAAGUUGUAUUGAAGGUGUAAUGCUACACAAUAGAAACAGCUAUGGACAAGGCAAAUAUCUUGUAGAACAAAAUAAAAAUCAUUAAAUGUCACUUUUAUAUCUUUAUUUCAAGUACUUCUUUUACAUUUUUUUUUUCUUUCUUUCUUUCGUUCUUUCCUUUUUUUUUUAACCUUUUUUUAAAAAUUGAUUUCUUUUAUUCCUAUAUUUUUUUUUAUUAAGAUCACCAAUAUUUUCCUUUCUUUUUUUUAGAUUCAUCCCACCUUAAUUUUUUCUCCCUUUUUUUCUCUCACCAUUCAGAUAUUUUUUUCUCUGCUUUUUAUUUAUAUCUCAUUAUUUUUUCAACUUAUUUUUUUUCUCCUUUUCUAUUUUUCUCUUUUGCUUUUUUUUAACCCUCCCUCCUGAUUUUCUCCUAGUCUAAAUCCUUUCCAAAAGCAAGGCAUAACAUUUCUAAAAAAAUGAAAAUUAUUGCACAUUAAAACAAUUACAUAUGCCUUGCUGUUGGAAAGCAACAAAACCAACAGAUGUUGGCAUUGCUGGUCAGCUCUGAUGGUGGCAAACCUGAAAAAGAACCUGUCAAUCAAUGAA